AAACACAUAGGUUUGGUCCUGGCCUUUCUAUUAGUUAUUAGUAAAUUUACACAUGCAGAAUCUUCGCCCCAGUGAGAAUGCCCUCUACACCAAACAAUGGUAAAAAGGAGCUGGUAUCAAGCACACUAAUAAGUAGCUCAUGACGCCUCGCUUAGCCACACCCCCACGGAUACAGCAGUGAUAAAAAUUAAGCAAUAAAUGAAGUCUGACUAAGUUAUACUUCUAAGGACUGGUAAUCUCGUGCCAGCCACCGCGUCAUACGAUUAGGCCAAACUAAUAGACAAUCGGCGUAAAGCGUGUUCUAGAAAUUAAAUAAUAAAUAAAAUCAAUCUUAACUAAGCUGUAAAAGCCUCAGAUAUUGUAAGAUAAAUAACGAAAGUGAUUUAAAAAAUCUGACUACACGAUAGCUAAGAUCCAAACUGGGAUUAGAUACCCCACUAUGCUUAGCCCUAAACAUAAAAAUUAUAAACAAAUUAUUCGCCAGAGUACUACUAGCAUAGCUUAAACUCAAAGGACUUGGCGGUGCUUAUAUCCUUCUAGAGGAGCCUGUUCUAUAAUCGAUAAACCCGAUCUACCUCACCAAUCUUUGCUAAUCAGCCUAUAUACCGCCAUCUUCAGCAAACCCUAAAAGGAACUAAAGUAAGCACAAGUAUAAGCAUAAAACGUUAGGUCAAGGUGUAGCUUAUAGAGUGAAAGAAAUGGGCUACAUUCCCCGAAUCGGGAACUAAAUUUAUACGAAAACCUAUGUGAAACCAAAAGUUAAAGGUGGAUUUAGCAGUAAACUAAGAUAGAGUGCUUAGUUGAAUAUGGCCAUAAGGACGCACACACCGCCCGUCACCCUCCUCAAUAACAUAUUAUAAAAUCAUAAAUAAUAUAUAUAUAUAAAUAUUACCUAUGAGAGAGACAAGUCGUAACAAGGUAAGUGUACUGGAAAGUGCACUUGGAUAACACAAAGU
rnacentral:ncRNA from 1 species